rnacentral:rRNA from 1 species
GAUGAACGCUAGCGGCAGGCCUAACACAUGCAAGUCGAGGGAGGAGCUUUCGGGCUUCGACCGGCGUACGGGUGCGUAACGCGUAUACAAUCUGCCUUUCACAUAGGGAUAGCCCGAAGAAAUUUGGAUUAAUACCUAAUGGUAUAUAGGAGUGGCAUCACAUUUAUAUUAAAGCUGAGGCGGUGAAAGAUGAGUAUGCGUUCUAUUAGCUAGUUGGAGAGGUAACGGCUCCCCAAGGCGACGAUAGAUAGGGGUUCUGAGAGGGAUAUCCCCCACACUGGUACUGGGAUACGGACCAGACUCCUACGGGAGGCAGCAGUGAGGAAUAUUGGACAAUGGUCGGAAGACUGAUCCAGCCAUGCCGCGUGCAGGAAGACGGCCUUAUGGGUUGUAAACUGCUUUUGCAGGGGAAGAAUAAGGACUACGAGUAGUUUGAUGACGGUACUCUGCGAAUAAGCAUCGGCUAACUCCGUG